GACGAACGCUGGCGGCGUGCUUAACACAUGCAAGUCGAACGCUGAAGCUUGGUGCUCGCACUGGGUGGAUGAGUGGCGAACGGGUGAGUAAUACGUGAGUAACCUGCUCUUGACUCUGGGAUAAGCCUGGGAAACUGGGUCUAAUACUGGAUACGACAUGUCACCGCAUGGAGGUGUGUGGCAAGGGUUCUAGUGGUUUUGGAUGGGCUCAGGGCCUAUUAGCUUGUUGGUGGGGUAAUGGCCCACCAAGGCGACGACGGGUAGCCGGCCUGAGAGGGUGACCAGCCACAAUGGGACUGAGAGACGGCCCAGACGCCUACAGGAGGCAGCAGUGGGGAGUAUUGUACAAUGGGCGGAAGCCUGAUGCAGCGACGCCGCGUGAGGGAUGACGGCCUUCGGGUUGUAAACCUCUUUCAGCAAGGACGAAGCGAAAGUGACGGUACGUGCAGAAGAAGCGCCGGCUAACUACGUG
rnacentral:rRNA from 1 species